UACAUGGGGUGCAAACGUUGCUCGGAAUUAUUGGGCGUAAAGCGCACGUAGGCGGUUCGUUAAGUCGGAUGUGAAAGCCCCUCGGCUCAACUGAGGAAGUGCACCCGAAACUGGCGAGCUUGAGUACGAAAGAGGAUCGCGGAAUUCCCGGUGUAGAGGUGAAAUUCGUAGAUAUCGGGAGGAACACCGGUGGCGAAGGCGGCGAUCUGGGUCGAUACUGACGCUGAGGUGCGAAAGCGUGGGGAGCAACAGG
rnacentral:rRNA from 1 species